rnacentral:misc_RNA from 1 species
AUACAUAUAAACUGACGGCCACCGUUCAACUGUAUGAUAUGAUUUGGGACGAGUGAAAAAUCUUAGGGUGUCUACAAAGUAAGGGUAAUCGCAGUCACCGAUGGUUAAUUGGUGUAUUUUAUUGUGUAGCGGAACGCAUAAACCGUUACGGACUUUUCAGAAAGGUUUGCAAAGAAGAACCAAGGUUGCGCAUCCUCUCUGAUGCAUGUGCACAGGGACAUUUUAUUUCUUUCCGGACGCUGGGUCGGCCUAAACGCCUGAUUAGACCCUGUGAUUUAGGUUUUUCUCCAAGAUUGGAUCCUUCCACGUUUGUGCUCCAGUAACUCUGAAGGUGCAAUCUACUUUACAGAAAGACAAUUACAUGGCCAUUUUCCUCUGACCGAAUAAUUAUUUAAAACUUCGCAGACC